rnacentral:rRNA from 1 species
UAGGGAAUCUUCCACAAUGGACGCAAGUCUGAUGGAGCAACGCCGCGUGAGUGAAGAAGGUCUUCGGAUCGUAAAGCUCUGUUGUUGGUGAAGAAGGAUAGAGGCAGUAACUGGUCUUUAUUUGACGGUAAUCAACCAGAAAGUCACGGCUAACUACGUGCCAGCAGCCGCGGUAAUACGUAGGUGGCAAGCGUUGUCCGGAUUUAUUGGGCGUAAAGCGAGCGCAGGCGGAAUGAUAAGUCUGAUGUGAAAGCCCACGGCUCAACCGUGGAACUGCAUCGGAAACUGUCAUUCUUGAGUGCAGAAGAGGAGAGUGGAACUCCAUGUGUAGCGGUGGAAUGCGUAGAUAUAUGGAAGAACACCAGCGGCGAAGGCGGCUCUCUGGUCUGCAACUGACGCUGAGGCUCGAAAGCAUGGGUAGCGAACAGGAUUAGAUACCCUGGUAGUCCAUGCCGUAAACGAUGAGCGCUAGGUGUUGGGGACUUUCCGGUCCUCAGUGCCGCAGCAAACGCAUUAAGCGCUCCGCCUGGGGAGUACGACCGCAAGGUUGAAAC